GGGAGUACGCCGGCAACGGUGAAACUCAAAGGAAUUGACGGGGGCCCGCACAAGCGGAGGAACAUGUGGUUUAAUUCGAUGAUACGCGAGGAACCUUACCCGGGCUUGAAUUGCGACUGACUGCAUCAGAGAUGAUGUUUCCAGCAAUGGCAGUCGUGAAGGUGCUGCAUGGUUGUCGUCAGCUCGUGCCGUGAGGUGUCGGCUUAAGUGCCAUAACGAGCGCAACCCUUUUCCCUGUUUGCCAUCGGGUAAUGCCGGGCACUCCAGGGAUACUGCCAUCGUAAGAUGUGAGGAAGGUGGGGAUGGCGUCAAAUCAGCACGGCCCUUACGUCCGGGGCUACACACGUGUUACAAUGGGCGGCACAGAGGGCAGCGACCGCGCGAGCGGCAGCCAAUCCCGAAAUCCGCUCUCAGUUCGGACUGGAGUCUGCAACCCGACUCCACGAAGCUGGAUUCGCUAGUAAUCGCGCAUCAGCCAUGGCGCGGUGAAUACGUUCCCGGGCCUUGCACACACCGCCCGUC
rnacentral:rRNA from 1 species